ACUGACAGGGAGAAAUCCUUUAUCCAGAGCAUGAUGAGGCCCUGGCACAGGUUGCCCAGAGAAUUCCCAUGCCUGGAAGUGUUCAAACCAGGUUGGACAGGGCUUGGAGCAACCUGGUCUAGUGGAAGGUGUCCUGCCUAUGGCAGGGAGAUGGAAUGAGAUGAUCUUGAAGGUCCCUUCCAAUCCAAAUUAUUCCAUGAUGCUAUGUCACAGAAAAAUACAGUUUUUAGAAAGUGCACAGCUUGAUCAUAACAUAUGAAAACUAAAUGCCACCUCAACCCAUUUGUUUAUUUUGUCAAUUCUUGCCUGAUUGAAAUCUCAAAACAAAAACUUCUCGAAAAAGAAAACUGUAUUCUUAUGAUGUGUGCAAAAUUCCAGAAACUUGCUGUGUGCAGCAACAAAGAGCAGAAUAACACCAGAACACAGAGUUGGAGGCAAUAUAAUUCCACCCUUCACACCUCAGUCAUCUUAACAGGUGACAGAGAUCUCACUGCUUCAGCUCCUUGCACCUGGUUGUACCAAGAAGAUCAAGGGCUUCCCCCUGCCUCACCCAGUGUAACAACCUCAGGAUCAAAUUAAAUGCCCAUGCUGACCUUCUCAACCAGAGGAGGAACUCUGAACCAUCCAGCUGAGGGACAAGACAGCCAAAAUU